GAUGAAUGCUGGCGGCGUGCCUAACACAUGCAAGUCGAGCGUGAAUGCGUGGAUUGGAGACUUCGGUCAAAGAGAAGCACAUGAAAGCGGCGGACGGGUGAGUAACGCGUGGGCAACCUGCCCUGUACAGAGGGAUAGCCACUGGAAACGGUGAUUAAUACCUCAUGAGACUACGGAGCCGCAUGGCUCAGUGGUCAAAGAUUCAUCGGUACAGGAUGGGCCCGCGUCUGAUUAGCUAGUUGGUGAGGUAACGGCUCACCAAGGCGACGAUCAGUAGCCGACCUGAGAGGGUGAACGGCCACACUGGAACUGAGACACGGUCCAGACUCCUACGGAAGGCAGCAGUGGGGAAUAUUGCACAAUGGGCGCAAGCCUGAUGCAGCAACGCCGCGUGAGUGAUGAAGGCCUUCGGGUCGUAAAACUCUGUCCUAAGGGAAGAAUAAUGACGGUACCUUAGGAGGAAGCCCCGGCAAACUACGUGCCAGCAGCCGCGGUAAGAC
rnacentral:rRNA from 1 species